rnacentral:rRNA from 1 species
UACGUAGGUGGCAAGCGUUGUCCGGAUUUACUGGGUGUAAAGGGCGUGCAGCCGGAGAGACAAAUCAGAUGUGAAAUCCACGGGCUCAACCCGUGAACUGCAUUUGAAACUGUUUCCCUUGAGUGUCGGAGAGGUAAUCGGAAUUCCUUGUGUAGCGGUGAAAUGCGUAGAUAUAAGGAAGAACACCAGUGGCGAAGGCGGAUUACUGGACGAUAACUGACGGUGAGGCGCGAAAGCGUGGGGAGCAAACAGG